rnacentral:misc_RNA from 1 species
UACAGAGGCCUCGAGCGUUAUCCGGAAUCACUGGGCGUAAAGGGUGUGUAGGUGGUUCUGUUAGUCUUGUGUUAAAUCUCUCCGCUUAACGGGGAAGUCGCAUAAGAAACGGCAGAACUAGAGGAUGUAAGAGGUGCACGGAACUCAUGGUGUAGGGGUGAAAUCCGUUGAUAUCAUGGGGAACACCGAAUGCGAAGGCAGUGCACUGGUGCACUCCUGACACUGAAACACGAAAGCUAGGGGAGCGAACGGG